rnacentral:piRNA from 1 species
UACGCAAGGACUGCAGCAAAUGGGCGA